UGUUGUACUAGCUUUUCCAACACUUUUUUGUUAUCCACACGCGGCCUUUUCUACCUGCAACAUAAUCAAGAAACUCAGGGAUCAGAUGAGAUCAUGAGAUAGAGAGACUUCAAGAGGGAGAGACCAGCCUCGCAGCGGUGGUUCUUAGGGCGGCGACGGUUAACUCAAGCGAACGAUGAUGGCAGUACUAGCGGCUAGGGUUCAGAUAUGUUUAGGGUUCAGAUCUGUUACCGGUAAAGGAGAUGGAGCCUCGCAGCGGUGGUUCUUAGAGCGGCGUCGGUUAACUCAAGCGAACGAUGAUGGCAGUACUACCGGCUAAGGUUCAAAUCUGUUUAGGGUUCAGAUCUGUUACCGGUAACUAGGGUUUCUACCAGGUCUCCGAUUUUGAGUUGUGGUGUUAGCGGUUGUGAUGGUUGCGGUGGCUAUUGUUGUGAUUAUUUUGGUGCUUUUAAUCUACCAUGGAAAUAAAAAUUUAAACAUAGUUACAUAUAUCUAAAAAGUGUGAAGUUACAUGGGAAAAUGAAAUGAUGGUAUCGUCAAAGGUAAAUGAGCAAGAAUGAUUUAUCGUGUAAUUAUUUGUACAACUUGCCAGAAAAAAAAUAUCCCUUAAUAUAUAAUAUAUUUUAACA